rnacentral:rRNA from 1 species
CAAGGGUCGCGUUUCUUAAGUUCUGAUUGUGAAAGUCCAACGCUCAUCCGUGAGGUUCAUUGGAACUGGAGAACUUGAGUGCAGAAGAGAAAGUUGAACUUUCCAUGUGUAGCGGUGAAAUUGCGUAGAGGAUAUUUGAGGAACAGCAAGUGGCGAAAGGCGACUUUUCUUGGUUCUGUUAACUGACACUUGAAGGCGCGGAAAAGCGUGGGGAGCAAACCAGGAUUUAGAUAACCCUUGUUAGUUCCAACGCCGUAAAACGAUGAGAUUGCUUAAGUGUUAGAGGGUUUCCGCCCUUUUAGUGCUGAAAGUUAACGCCAUUAAAGCACUUCCGCCUGGGGAGUACGGCCGCAAGGCUGAAACUCAAAGGAAUUGACGGGGGGCCCGGACCAGCGGUUGAGCAUGUGGUUUAAUUUGAAGCAACGCGAAGAACCUUACCCGGUCUUGACAUCCUUUGACAACCCUAGAGAUAGGGGUUUUCCUUUGGGAGCAGAAUGACAGGUGGUGCAUGGUUGUUGUCAGCUCGUGUCGUGAGAUGUUGGGUUAAGUCCCGCAACGAGCGCCACCCUUGAUUUUAGUUGCCAUCAUUUAGUUGGGCACUUUAAGGUGACUGCCGGUGACAAACCGGAGGAAGGUGGGGAUGACGUCAAAUCAUCAUGCCCCUUAUGACCUGGGCUACACACGUGGUACAAUGGACGGUACAAAGAGCUGCAAGACCGCGAGGUGGAGCUAAUUUCAUAAAACCGUUUUCAGUUCGGAUUGUAGGCUGCAACUUGCCUACAUGAAGCUGGAAUCGCUAGUAAUCGCGGAUCAGCAUGCCGCGGUGAAUACGUUCCCGGGCCUUGUACACACCGCCCGUCACACCCCGAGAGUUUGUAACACCCGAAGUCGGUGGGGUAACCUUUUGGAGCCAGCCGCUAAGUGAUCUUUUU